UCGGGAAUUUUGGGCAAUGGGCGAAAGCCUGACCCAGCAACGCCGCGUGAAGGAUGAAGUAUUUCGGUAUGUAAACUUCGAAAGAAUAGGAAGAAUAAAUGACGGUACUAUUUAUAAGGUCCGGCUAACUACGUGCCAGCAGCCGCGGUAAUACGUAGGGACCAAGCGUUGUUCGGAUUUACUGGGCGUAAAGGGCGCGUAGGCGGCAAUUCAAGUCAUCUGUGAAAUCUCCGGGCUUAACUCGGAACGGUCAGAUGAUACUGCUUUGCUAGAGUGCAGAAGGGGCAAUCGGAAUUCUUGGUGUAGCGGUGAAAUGCGUAGAUAUCAAGAGGAGCACCUGAGGUGAAGACGGGUUGCUGGGCUGACACUGACGCUGAGGCGCGAAAGCCAGGGGAGCAAACGGGAUUAGAUACCCCGGUAGUCCCUGAGCGGGCUGGCAAGGCGCAU
rnacentral:rRNA from 1 species